UGCCUUUUAACAGCCAAGGCAGAAUAUAAAGAUCCCAGAGAAUCAUGCUUCAUUAUUUACUUUUCACAGUCUGUUCUUCUCUGGAAGUUGAAAAUAUUUUGGCAAGAUCUUUUCAUGGAAAGUAUAUCAAUUUUUAUCGAAUAUUGUAAAGAUACAGGUAUUAGAGAUCCUCAACAGGCGAAUCGUUAAAGAUCAUUUCUUUUCGGCUAUUUGGGAGAAGAUUCAACAAAUGGGCCCAAUCCCAUGUAACAUAAUUGGAAAUACAAAAAAGCCUAUAGUCUAUGAUGCUAUAGUAAGGCUAGCCAUAUGUGAACACCAUUUUUUUUAUAUAUAAUUUAAUAAUUAAUU